rnacentral:lncRNA from 1 species
UCCAUUUUUCUGAAGUGUAUAUCAGUUGUAUACUGACUGUAUAUCAGCCCUAUUGCUGCGCGUUUUUGUAUUCAGGCUGUAUAUCUGUGUAUAAAUCUUGUAUCCUCGCUUCCACUUUUAAUAUACACCAUUAUCAGCUGUUUUCCAGUGUACUCCAACCGUAUCUAAGUUUAUAUCCCAUGUAUAUCAGUCCAGUUUUGGACUUUAAGGCUUGAAUCGAGAUCGAGGCCUCUUAGGCCCAAUAAGAUAUGCAACUCGAAUUCAUGUCACAUGCAUCAAAUAAAAGAUAAGAAUUAGUGAACAAUAUGGGAAUGACGUCAUACACGGCAUAGACAUACAUAAAUUGUAACUACCAUUCCUAUAAUAAUAGUAAUACUAUUACUACUACUAAUAAUAAUAUCAAUAAUAACAUUUAAACACUUAAGAAAAUUAAAUCAUGUCAUUAGCAGGGCAAUACAAAUGAACACUUCAUGGACUAGAGGGGAUAUGAACUUGAUAUACCACACUAUCAUUCACUGCCUCAAUAUAAGUAACAAACAAUUUAUCGAGGAACCUAACUAGACUUACUUAAGUAAACACAUUAAUUUGAGAUGUAAAGAAUUACAAAAUUGGAUUACAUCAUAUCACUGAACAUGCAUAUCAAAGGUGUAAGUUCAUCGAUAUGGAGUUUACGAUAAACGGGACAACAAACUACUAUUCUUCCUUUUCAAAAUUCGCGGAUCUGACUAAAUUUAAAUAGUCUCGACCAAUCCCGCUAAUUUAAUUAAAGAUGAUAAAAAAGUUUCAAAACUAAAAAAAGAGUGACACAAAUUUUAAAUAUUAAGUAGGUGUGACAAUUUUAAGAUUAGUGUUAAUGACACUAAUUUUAAAACCUUCAAAUUUUAUUAUUUACACAAAAAUCCCUACACCAUCACCCCCACUCCUCCUCCUCCUCCUCCUCCACACCCUUUUUGUUGCCGCCGCCGCAUCCUCUUACUCCACUAUUAUUAUCACCACUAUUGUCACCUCUUCCAGAUUCACCAUUAUUUCCUUCCUCUACAUAAGUAUCGCCUAUUUUUUUUUUCUCCUCCACCACCCUCGCUAUCAAUACCACAUCAAAUGCCAUCUUCUCAUUCGGCAUCACCACCAGCACCACCACCUUCGUUUUUACCAUAAAUAUCAUUUUUUCGUGGGUUCUUCCUUCAACCAGAUUUUUUUCCAGAAAUUAAAUAAGUGUCGAAGUUGCUACAACAACAGUCAAAGUUGCUAAGGCAACAACCGAAAUUGCUGCAGCAACUUCGAUUAUUGCUGCAGUAAUUUCAAUAGUUGCUGCAGCAACUUCGAUAAUUGUUGUAACACAAUAACUAAUAAUAGUUAUUGCAACAAUUAUUAUAGUUGUUGAAGCAACUCUGGUAGUUGAUGAAGAAACUCUAGUAAUUGUUGAAUUUAUUGUAUUAUUUCUUCAUUCAUUUCUUAAAUAAAUCAAAAUUUUCAUUUUCAAACUUUUCAAUUUUUUAUUUUUUUUAAAUAGUCCAUGAAAAUGGAAAGAGAAAGAAGAGAGGACGGAAGACGAGAGAAACAAAGAAAAAGAUAGGGAGAAAGAAAUUCAGAGAGAGAAAAAUAAAAGAAGAAAGAUUGAAAAAUAAGAAAAGGAGAAAAUUGUAAAAUUUAAAAUUAGAAGUUGGAGGAUUUUUUAAAAAAAUUACACUUUACCAAAUUUUGAACUUAGCUGGUUAAAGUUGUCAACUCCCUCCUAAUUUUCUCUACUUUCGAAAUCACAUAAAAUCAGGGUCAACAGUAGUAAAGCUGGCAUUACUUUGAAUAUCUGCGGGUUAUUCUCAAAGAUCAAAUUCGACAUAUACAAAGUAUAAAAUCAGUCGAAGUUACAAGAUAAAUCCAUGGUUUUACACAAGAGAGCAGGGAAAUCGAUAUCAGCACAGCCCAAAUAAACACAACACAUAAAUACACACUCAUCAACCAGCUUUGUUCUAAUUUGACUACAAUUCCAGCAAAUCAAUCCUGAGAGUCCAAAACACAUAGUCAAUCAUCGAGAACAAAAAUCCCAUGUCAAUGACAAAAAUUGCAACCAGAAUCACAUCGAAACGAGAGGACGAGGAAGUUUACCUUUUUGGGGGCAGGAACCGGGACGACGAGAUGACAAAGACGACUUAAAAAUAAGAAUUCAGAUCGAUUUUGCCAGAGUUUCAAAUGGUUUCGGCAAAUUUCUGGUUACGUGAGAUUAGAGGAAUGCUCCUCCAGAAUCUCCAAGUUUUUCCCCAAAAAUCCCCCUUUUUCACCUCUUAACUUCAACCUCUAUUUAUAGGGAAAAGAUUAGGGUUCGGAUUUCAAACUCAAUUUGAGUGAAUUCUUGAACUUUUUUGAAGUCCACUGUGGGACAAAAUAGAGCCGUUGGGCAUUAAUUGCUUACCCAAAAUGGUGAAUCAAAGACAAAGAAAGAGGAAAGUCAUUUAAUUUUUGCCAUAGAUGGCUGAACGGAGGGGCAAAAAUGGUAAAAAGGGGAUGGUUGAAGCUGUAUUGUAGCGCUUUUGGUGAAAUUGUCGUGGUUGAUGUUUUGGUGUUGAAGUCGUCUGUUGGGAUUGGGUUUUGCCGUGGUUGUUUUUUUGCUGAUACUGUCGUUGUUUGUUGAACGGUGGGUUGAAGUUGUACGCUCUUGUACAAGAGGUGAUAAAAGGGGUGUUUGGCCGGGUCGACUGUAUUGGGCUGGUGGGGU